GAAGCAUUUUAUCUCUUUUAAUUUGUUUUUUCUCCCCUACACCUUUUCAUAUUAAAGGAGGAUACAUAGUUGUAAAUGGUCCAGUUUGUCAGUCAUAAAAAUAAUUUAUUAAUAUGUUUUAGCUAUUUAGAUAAUGAACUGAAAUCACAUAAAAUAACCUAAUUUCCUUCACAUUUGAAAUAGAUGAUCCCAUUUCUUUCUUUUGUCUUGCCUCCUUCAUCCCCACUCCCUCUCCCUUUAUAUGUUUAAGAUCCCUUCCCAGUUGUUCCCCAGUCAUUAUUUCAAAGUUACUGUGCUAACUGGUGAUCACUUAGGGCUAUUUCAUGCAUGGCAUGUCCCCAGGUAGGAAAAAAUAUGUGCACACACGUCAUGUUGUAUGUCUGUUCUGCUGUGGUUACCUGUAUUUGGAACCACCUGCUGCAGCUUCUGAACAUGUGUAGCCAAGGCAGAAUAAACACUUGUGCCGUUUUCAUGCCCAGCAAUGUAUGUGGGUGUACACAUAUUUUUCUGCACUGAGUUUCCCUUCAUGUAGGAAACUCAUGAAUGAAGCAGCCCUAUGAAAAGCAGUGGCAAGUAACAGGAGUUUGGUGUAGUCCUGCAUCACUUAUUUCACUUGCCUGCUUAAUAGCCAGUCGUUACUUACAAAAACCACACUGCCUCUGUCUCAAAAAUAGGCACCUCACACACACCUUGAGUCUUUACCUGGAGAACUGCUGCUCUGCAUAAUUUCAGGUUGAACUUAGCAUCUUCCACACUGUCCCGUAUGCAUGGAAUGCCCUCCCUGAACUGAUCCAUAAGGUCACAACUCUCCUCUCCUUUAUCUCCUUGAGACCCACCUCUGCUGCAAUGCCUACUGAGCCUAUUGCACAACUUGCAAUGACAGAUUGCUAUGUGAAAGGACAGAUGGGGAUUGUUGACAUUUUGUAGUAAUACUAAUUAUAAAUAAAUAUAUGUAUAUAAAGGUUGCAUAUAUUUAGCUGCAUCCCUUUUCUUCCUUACCCUUUGUAUGUCACCUGCUUUCUUCAAGGCAGGGAACUUGGUUUUUGUUUUUGUUUUUUUGUAUAUAUGAUUGCCUAGCACACUGCUAAUCCAUAGAGGUUGAAGAAAUUGAGGAUAAGUCAUGUGUAGAUUACAGAGUUGUGUGAAGCAUUAACUUUGAUGCUAUGUUACAGUGGUGAAGCAAAGUGGCUGGAGUUAAAUUUACUUAAUUUUGUUUUUUGUUUUACACUUUUCCCAACUCUCUCGUUUCUCUUCCUUUUGUUGAUCAUAUUAACAAGAGCUCCAAGUACACCUACAGCACUGCCACUCAAAUCAUUCUACAGAAACCCAUAUAGAAUAAAACCUUGUAACUAGUUGUGAGCCCCAGUGACUUGGAACACUUUGUAGUGUAGAUGGGUUCUCCAAUAAGUAUAAUGUUUGCGUGUGUGUGUGUUUGCUUGCUUUUGUUUCACUGAGGGGGAGGAUAAAUGCCCUGGAUAUGGCUUUUGAAACCAUGCACAGCCAGGUCCACUUCACGUGUAUAUAUGCAGUCCAUACUCUCAAACUGACAUCCACUUUGAACGAUGUAUACGUUGACACAAAAGUCAUUACUUGUGCCAGAGAGUCAAGAAUUUGUCUCUGCCACAUGUACACAUACUUUAAAGCAUAUACUGUAUGUUUCUUGUAAAGCAGACCUCACAUGUGUAGAAUUUCCUUUAUGCGAAGUUGCAUUGUACUUUGCAUGGCAUUCUGUAUAGGCAGGGGCUAUCCCAAUAGCAGGCAUAGGUUCAUAUGGAUAUAUUUGGUGUUUCCCGUGAAAUUGAAGACAAUAAGGUAGCCCCUUAUUACUCUUAAUCAGAGCCCCUUAUUUACAAUGGAGCCACUGGAUCAGGGCCGUGGUUUAGCAAUACAGUUAAGAGAUAAAAUUCCUUGUAAGAUUAAAAUCAAAUAUUAUGUUUUCCGCUGCUUUUAACUUUACUUCUGAAUGUUGCAUUGUGUUACUAAAAAAAACCAACUUCUCAAUCUGUAAUACAUCUUUUUAGCUUCCAGUUAUAGACUCACCUGCCAGUAAGCCCCAUUUAACUCAAUGGAGCUUACUUCUGAGUAGACCUUUACAGGAUUGCACUGUUACAUUGCUAUUUUCCCUUUCAUCAUCCUUCUCAAACUCAGAACUAAGCCAUUCAACUUUAAAAUACACAUCAUUUCAACUUGGAAACUGGUCUUAUUUCUUUUGGUUUACAAUAUUUUGAAAAAUUAAUACAAAUUUGACCCAGAAAAAUACACAGUUGAAUGUAUUAAUAAAUGAAUUAAUCUAAAUUGUAGGAAUUUUUUUGGAGUAUCCACUCCUUAGCAAGGUGGCUAGUCUGGACCAUGAACUCAAUGGGGGGGAAAUCUUAAAAUUAGCAAAACAAAUAACACAGGGAGAUUUUUGCAUAAUUCAGACAAAACUUUUGUAUCUCAUAGAGUUUUAGAACAAUAUAUUAUAUAGCAAUAUAUUUCCUCUGUUUAAUGUCUAUCCAUCCUUGCCCCGAUCAAGAGAUCACAUAUACACAUGGUGGGUUAUGUAUAUGUAUGUGUAUGGUGUCUCCCAAUCUUUUUAAGGACUUCUUCAUUUUAGUGGAUAGACCCAAACUAAGUGCGCCAAUGAUAGGACAUAUGGGGAUAGGGCACCUCCAUUGAAAUGAACAGAGAAUUCCAUUAACAUGUCUUGGUGAAAACAAGAUUUAUCAGGGCAUGUGAUAAUGCAAUGCCCAACAAAUCCCCACUGAAUCAAACAAAAACAUACCCAAACAACAAGCAAUAUGAUUAUUUCACCAGUAUAAGCACAAUAUGACUAGAAUUUUUAAAUUAAAUAAUUCCAGCCUAUUAAUUCAUUUUUUUUUCAAAAAUGAAGCAGCAACAAAAUAAACCAGCCUAUCUAUAGAUUAUUAUUUUUUAAAGAAAUCAUGAGGCAACGAUGGCUUACAUGACCAGAUAGCUAUGGAAUUUGUAGGGGGAGCAGGUUUUGCAUAGCUAUUUUGGAACACUUUUCUAAUUCAUAAGUACCAAAUUUUAUCCUAGCAAAUUUGGUGUAUCAAGCAAUGUCAGGUUUCCUUUGAUCUUAUUUGAGAUUUUAAGCCUAGCUAGUUGGUUUUUCCCCCUGAACAGUUUCUAAACUGGAUAUUGUUCAAUUCUCCAUCUAUAAGUGCUUCCAAAAUGUUAAUUUGAGACAAGAAUAAUCAGAUAUGCGUUUAGGGGAUUUUUACUGCUGAAUUGGUGCUAACCAAAUAAUAAUAAUUCUGAAACAGGAAUAUUUUUGCCUUCCUCUAUUUUUGUUGAUCUUUCUCUUGGGAGUAUAAAUUUUAAUUCUAGAAGAAUAUUACAAUAUCACCUGCAGAAACAUUAGGUUAGGUCAUAGUACAAUUUAAUACGAGAUGCAACUCACCUAACAGAACAAUGUUUAAUAGUGGUAUCUUCUAAAAGAAACGUAUCAGUGGCAUUAAUAUUUAUAGUACAUGGUAUAGUAUCAUUUUUUUCCAGAAAAAAGUGUGAAAUGAUGGCAUUUGAAACAAUUAAGACAUAAAUUAAAUCCAAUACUUGAAUUCCAAAUGUAAUAGGGAACGAAAAGUGGCCUCAUGUGAAAAGGCUACACACUGCGAUUACAGGUAUUUCAGCACUGUGGAAUAGAUCAUAGGACUUUCACAACCAAGGAAUAGUGAAAGCAGACAUGGUACCAGCUCUAAAGUGUUCACACCUUCAAAUAUGAUGAUAAUCUCGGAAAGAUGUUUUGGACAGAAUUAUUUAAGUCAUCAGAAAGAAACCUUGCCGUCAAAGAUAUGGAUAUUCCUGAUGUUACCAAUCUAACAUGGAUCCUCUGAAGGAUAUUUGUAGAAAAGUAAUUGAGGGUGACUUUGCCAUCCCAGUGAGGAAAACAUUGCAAGAGAAAAUAAAGUGAUGGAAUCGUGCUGUAAUGCUGCCACUGUGACUUAAACUUCAGUAUGCCUUAUUUAAGGUACCAGAGAGGUGGACAGCAUACUCUUCCUUUCUCUCAUUCUUUCUUUCCUUUCUUCCUGAUUUCCUUCCUUAUUUUUUCAAGGCCUUUUCUUCCCAUUCCACAUUGUUUGUUUUUUCAGUUGUUAACAAUGUCAUGUUGACUCCUAAUUAAAACUGUAAAAUAAAUUACUCUAGGCAUCUUGUAGUUUGUUUUCAUUUGCCUUGCUCAGUUCUACAAGCUGGCUCAUGUGUUUGCAGAAUCGCACCAUAACUUACUAUAAUGUUUGGAAGAUUGAUUCCCCAUCUCCAAAUUCCAUCUCUUCGAAUGCUGGCUCAAAUCUAGCACAUUUUGUUUCCACUUAUUUUCUCAAUUCUGAAAACCUUCCAUGUUUUCAGAAUGAAAUAACUUUUUUUUUUUGAAAAAUAAAUACUGUAUUUCUAAAAUAACUGUUGCUUCUGCAAUGUAGAAUAUCUCUUGCGUUAUAAGAUUACAAACAUAUGGAGCAUCUAUGCAUACAUUCACACAUAAUAUUCUUUUUCAUCUGCAUCUGGGGAUUUGAGUUGUCAUUCCAUGUGAUGGAGUAAGGUAUAAUCUAGCAUUAGAUAACAAUGUUAUCAUGAGGUUAUCUUAUCCCUAGCAGCUGGUUGUUUGGAAUGACUAAUUUAGAAUGACUUUUCCUUUGGUUCUUCAUUCAAUAGAAACCACAUUACAGAAAGGAAGGAUGAGAUUGGGGGUCAGUAUGUUCAUAAAACUUCCCAGUAGAAUUAAUUCAGCAGCAAUAUUAGUAAAUAUUCCCAAAAGGCAGAUAGUCUAAAAUUUGGCCAGCAAAGAAUUAAUGGAUCCCUAGAUACGAUUCAAAUGAAUAUCAAGUGAUUCAACCUGUGUGGCUCUGUAUUCCCUAAGUCUUAAACGUUUUUACUGAAAACUAUUCUUGAAGCACGGCAUAUGUAUCUAAUAUGACCCAGUCAUCUCUUAUUAGUUUCUGCUCAUUGAUUAUAGUAUAAUUUAUUAAACUAUAAAUAUUAUCUUUCAUGCAUUAGAGUGAAAUCUGAUUGCUGAAGCACACAUCAUAUUUUCCAGAUACCUUUUUAAUUUGCACCUCUUCCAGAUAAGAGGUAUAUAGGUGUUAAGAUGUUAGGUGACAGGAUUUGUAAAUCUGUUGCUUUUGAAUUAAUAUUUGGUAUUAGUUUCAUAUACCAUUUUCCCCACCCUGUACAAUGAUUCUAUCCUGUACAAUAUCUGAUUUGAGGUGUGCCAAGAAAUGCAAGCAUCUCCUCCCAGUUCUCUUAAACAGACUAUCCAUUUUAGAAGCCCUCUUGCAUAAUCUGAAAUUGUCAACUUCUUAUGUUAGGCUGUACGGUUGCAUACUUUACAAUACACUGUCUUAGUUUCAUUUAUCUUACAGUUUGGCUUGAUUCAGACCUCACACCAAAGCAUGCUUUGCACUAAUUGUAGCUUAGAACCCAAACCAUGGUUUGAGCUUCCAUAUAUAAAGACAAAGCAUGAGUUAGAGCUGCUUGUUUGCUUUUGUUUGUUCUGCUACAUCAUGUCAGUUCCUUCCCAUGUGGAGCAAAUAUAGGUGACUGCCUAGGUCCAGUGUUCUCAGGGGCCCACACCUUAACACAGCACACAUGACUACAGGUCCUGUAUACGGACAAAUAGCGGGCCAGUGGCUAGGCAGAAACCAUGCAUUCAGUUACUCUUUUGUGGCUCCAGGAAAUGGCAGGCAUGGGGUAGGGGCAUGCCUGCAUUAAGAGAAAACUAUUUCAAAUAAACAAUGACAGAAAAGUUAUUAUUUUCCCUCUCCCACGCGGGGUAGGGGGAGUGUUGUUAUUUUUUACCCUACUUACUUUGCGUCUCAUCCCAUGUUGAACUCCAAGAAUGUGAGGCAACCACAUUCACCUAUUUAAACUGCAUUUGAGGCUCGCAAAUCCUGAAUUCAACUAAUUCAAUAAUAUUUACUUGCGUAAAACCAAAUAUUGUUGUGAGUAAUCCUACAUAAAUGGCAUUAUACUAAAGACCUUUACUCUUAAUAGUGAAAGUUAAUAGUGAAAGUUAUUACUAGUGCGCACUCUGCUCUUUUCUGUUUCUUGGAGUGGGGGUGGAAUUGGACAGAAUUUCUUACUAAAAUCUCGUAUGUUGAAACUGUUUUAUAAGGCCACAUGCUAUAUUUAUAAUGUAUGAAUAAUGAAGGUGUAAAAAGAGAAUAUCAAUUCUACAUUUUGCUGUUACUAAAGCUAUCUUAUAGAGUAAGUGGUUAAGGUGUAUGUCCUAGAAAUGCUUUGUACAGAGUUCUAGAUUCAAACUCAGGCACCUGUCUAAAAGCUUUAUUUGAUUUAUUUUUUACAUUUGUAUCCCACCUUUCCUCCAAGGUAGAGUACAUGAUUCCUGCCCUUCCCUUCACAGCAACCCUGUGACAUAGGUUAGGUUGAGAAGCACUAACUGGCCCAAAUAUCACCCAGUGAGCUUCUUUCCUCUGUGGAUAUUUGAACCUGAAUCUUCCAGAUUCUGCUCUGGUACUAACCACUACACCACACUAGCUUUUAGGUGUAUUCCAGAUGUUUUCUCAAGACAUCCAAUUGUGGUUUCUCUACCUCCUGGUUUAGUUGAAUUUCACCUGUAUAAAAAUGUCAUGGAGGUUAAACAACAUACUUUGUCCUGCAUUGUGCACACCCUAGGAAAGACCUCCUAUCAUGCUAAACCAUAAUAGCAGAAACGAUGGCUUGCAAGACCAGUUCAUACCAUGGUUUCUUAUAUGAUUUGCUGGAUAAUCACAGGCUGUGUGUUGUCAAUUCAGGCGUCACAUCAUGGUUUGAUUUGUGUCUGAAUUUGAGUCAUGUCUGAUUCCAGAUUUAGAUUCUUUUAUCUUGAUACCAUCAGUUCAUCUUUAGUAGCAUUCUUUUCGUAAAUUACAGAACUUCUAUGUACAAAAUAUCAGACUCCCCUGAGAUAACAUUUUUAUGUUAUACAUUUCACAUAUGGAGAGCAUCUGUGUUUUGUGUCUUAAAAUGUCAUAUAAAAUAAGAAUAAUUCGAUUGCAUUCAUUUUUGGCAUCUGUAAAAAGCUUGCAAAUGUUAAAUAAAUUAGCCACAAACUGAAUAUGGUAUCGGUGGUUAUUUCUUGUGAGCAAAUGUAAUUAACAGUCUGACCCGUAACUAUUUUAAGUUUGCUUUAUUAAACUUUGUUAACAAAUAAAAUUUAUGUAAUAAUAAAAGAGGAAAAUUGUUCUUUUUAUAAUCAAAUAAGUUAAUCUUACAUACAUUUCAAACAGCACUAACAUUUCCCCCCUUGCUUUUCCUAUUCAUGACUAUCCUUUUCUGGAACAAAUCUAAGAUUAAACACUUGAAUUUGUGCUUUUCCAGUCUUUGAAUUAGUCAAUGAAACCAUACUGGUUGAUAUGCAAAUAUUCAAGGUUUACUGGGUUAUAGAUCAGGCUAUAAAAUCCUUUUUCUUAAUUUUAAAAUUACAUCUUAAUGCUAGUCAGCUGUUUAAGAGAUGCCAUGUCUAAUACACGUACACAAUGCAUUGAGAAACUAUCUCAAUUUACCUGUCAAUGUAGACUUUAAAUUAAAGUAUAUAUAGACAUGGAAUAGAUCUAUGUUGGACAAGGUGUGGAGCGCUUUCAAGUGAAGUGAGUUUCCAUUUGAAGCUGUCACUUUUAUAUCUUGCUCUUAAGUACAUUGGGUGACUAUAUUGGGCUGAAAUUCAAAAUUUCUGCCUUGUUUCCCUGUGUGCACCAAGAUUUCCGGUUUCCACAUUUCACAGCAGCCUCUUCGGAAGAUUAGACGAUUGUCCAAUGCAGUAUCUAGCAUAGUGCAAAGGACCGCAGCUGAAAGCAAAACUCAGCAGUAUCUCACGGGUUUACAGAAGCACUUCAAUCACAUCAGCACAGAUGUAUUUGGCUCCUGGCCAUAAUCACUCCAAAGUACCAUUACUGUUGAUGGGGUUUUUUUGGCUAAUCUUGAAGCCAUAUUCUGAUGAUCCCUCAUACCUACGGGACCACUUCUCCUGGUAUGUCCCACGGAAGAACUUAAAGU